UACGAAGGGGGCUAGCGUUGUUCGGAAUUACUGGGCGUAAAGCGCGCGCAGGCGGUUUUCCAAGUCAGUGGUGAAAGCCCGGAGCUCAACUCCGGAAAUGCCAUUGAAACUGCAAAACUUGAGUACGAGAGAGGUGAGUGGAACUGCGAGUGUAGAGGUGAAAUUCGUAGAUAUUCGCAAGAACACCAGUGGCGAAGGCGGCUCACUGGCCCGGUACUGACGCUGAGGUGCGAAAGCGUGGGGAGCAAACAGG
rnacentral:rRNA from 1 species